AGUGAACGCUGGCGGUAGGCCUAACACAUGCAAGUCGAACGGCAGCACAGUAAGAGCUUGCUCUUACGGGUGGCGAGUGGCGGACGGGUGAGGAAUACAUCGGAAUCUACUUUUUCGUGGGGGAUAACGUAGGGAAACUUACGCUAAUACCGCAUACGACCUACGGGUGAAAGCAGGGGAUCUUCGGACCUUUCGCGAUUGAAUGAGCCGAUGUCGGAUUAGCUAGUUGGCGGGGUAAAGGCCCACCAAGGCGACGAUCCGUAGCUGGUCUGAGAGGAUGAUCAGCCACACUGGAACUGAGACACGGUCCAGACUCCUACGGGAGGCAGCAGUAGGGAAUAUUGGACAAUGGGCGCAAGCCUGAUCCAGCCAUACCGCGUGGGUGAAGAAGGCCUUCGGGUUGUAAAGCCCUUUUGUUGGGAAAGAAAAGCAGCAGAUUAAUACCCCGCUGUUCUGACGGUACCCAAAGAAUAAGCACCGGCUAACUUCGUG
rnacentral:rRNA from 1 species